UACGGAGGGUGCAAGCGUUAUCCGGAUUCACUGGGCUUAAAGGGUGUGUAGGCGGGCUUUUAAGUCAGUGGUGAAAUCUCCGGGCUCAACCUGGAAACUGCCAUUGAUACUAUUAGUCUUGAAUUUUGUUGAGGUAGGCGGAAUAAGUCAUGUAGCGGUGAAAUGCAUAGAUAUGACUUAGAACACCAAUUGCGAAGGCAGCUUGCUGGACAAAUAUUGACGCUGAGGCACGAAAGCGUGGGGAUCAAACAGG
rnacentral:rRNA from 1 species